rnacentral:ncRNA from 1 species
UUUUGAUAUUUUAUUUUAGUAUGAAAAAUGAUAAUGAGUUUGGUUUAUACAUGCUAUUUUUUGAGGUUAAAAGUUUGAUGUCUAAAUGAUUUUAUAAUUUUUAAUUAGCAGUAUUUAUUAUUGUUUAUAUUUUAUUGUUUAAAGAUACAGCUUUUAUUUAUUAUUGACUAGCAAAAAUUGUGCCAGCAGCUGCGGUUAUACAAUUAGUUAUUUAUCAUUGUUUAGGGGUAUAUUUAUUAAUGUUUAUUAAUCUUAUUAUAUAAAGUUUUAAAGUGAAAUUUAAAUUUAUAAAUAAUGAUUUGGUUAUAGAUCAUAUAUGAAAUUUAUUUAAUUGAGACUAGGAUUAGAUACCCUAUUAUUAUAAAUUUAAAUUUUAACCUCUAGUAUUAAUAGUUAAGAUCUUUAAAUUAAAAAAAUUUGACGGUAAUUUAAUCUUUUCAGAGGAACCUGUUCUGUAAUCGAUAUUCCACGAUAAAUUUUACUUUAAUUUUGGUUUGUAUAUCUCUGUUUAAUAGAGUGUUUUAUUAGAAUUUAUUCUCUUAAAAUUUUUAUAAAUUUUAUUUCAGGUCAAGGUGCAACUAUAUUAAAGAUUGAGAUGGGUUACAUUUAUUUAAUAAUUUUGGAUUAAAUGUAUUAUUAUUGUAUUUAUUUUUAUGAAAUUGGAUUUGAUUGUAAUAUUUAUUAUAUAUUAAUUAUGAUAUUUGUUCUAGAUUGAGUACACAUCGCCCGUCACUCUCAUUUAUUAAAAUGAGAUAAGUCGUAACAAAGUAGGCCUAUCGGAAGAUGGGCCUAGAAUUAUA